rnacentral:lncRNA from 1 species
GAGUGAGUCUUCUAUUUAUUUAUUUUUAAUCAGCCACAUGGUAGCUGGAAGCAAAAGGGAGCUAGUUUGCCACUAAAGACACUAUAUAUGUGUGUAGGCAUGCCAAUAAAUGGUUUUCAGGUGCAAAGCUACUUGUUUACUGUUAUAGCAAUCAGCUGUCACUGUAAAUACUCACAAGAGGCUAACUGGGUCUGGACAAUAGAGAUUUAAAAAUCAAAGCUGCCUCAUGCAUGUCUGUAACAGGUAGCUAUCUUAAAAAGAGUCUGAGCUCUGGAUAAAGAGGUUUCUUUUGUUGUGGCUUCAGAGGAGAGCUCUACAUUAAGUGAAAACUAAGAACAAAAACAAUUUUCUCCUAAGAUUUUUAUUAAGAAGUUAUUUAAUAGAUAAGUAACACAGGUUCAGAAACUCUCCGUGGAGCUUAUUAAGCAAGCUAUCUGUGCCACAGACCCUGCAUGAGUAGCUGUGAGUUAAAAGAAGAGCAAGAUGUUUGAAAGCCAUUGGCUUGAAAUCACCUGGCUCAAAGAACUGGUUUCAGCAGUACAGAUGGCACCUAGUGAUUGCUCCCCUGCAGCACAGGGCUAGUGAGGAAAACACAAGCCAGCCACGCUACACCUGCAGACUACACCAAAAGAGAUCCAUCAUUCUCCAGGUGAGGCAGUUGGCCUAUCUUUUUUUUUUGUUGCUGUUGUUGCUGAUUUUUAAAAAAGCCAAAUUUCUUGUAAAUUUUAGUGGCCAUCCUCUAGAAAGUGCAGGUGACAGCUUUACAUGCUUCCUAAGUGCCACCUGCCCAGCUGUCCCCAUCGAGGACAUCCAGGAAACCCAGGCUCUGCAGGAGGUCUCUGCUCACCAACUGCUGCAUGGUGCCUGAAUUUGGGGUACUGGAAUUUGAUAUAAGGUCGAGAAGAUUGUAGACAUUUCCUCUCUGAAAGUGAUAUCCUUGGAAAUUCAACUGUGAAAUGAGCAGGAUCUCUGGGAAAUAACCACCUGCCUUCUUACAAUUGAGUCUCUUGCUGGAAGCUGAGAAAACAUUUCUUUCUCAGAAAGACUGCUGCUGUGUCUGAGUGCUAUAAAGUCUGAGGGAAAUCCACCAUGGUCGGACAGAGGGCAUCAGUCCAAGGGUGUCACUCAAGCAGUGGACUGCAAAACGUAGCAGGGCUCCAUGAACCCAAAGCCAUCCCUCAUGCUUGCCCCCUGUAAUCCCUAGGGAGCCUCAGUGCUGUUCCUCCGGUCCAAUGCCCGCUUCUGUCCAGCUCAUCUGGGGUGCCCUCCUCGCUCUGAAAGCCACUCUGUGGUGACACAGCCCACAGGACAGGCAGGGAAUUUUUUACCUGGCUUCUCUUUCUGCCCCCCAUCCCACGUGCGUGGCAGGAGGGAAGCGAUGCCCGCAGCUCCCUGCAGCGGGGGCUUUCCCCGCAGCCUGACAUCACGCAGAGAGCUCCCUUGGCUCGCGGACCGCGCUGAUUUCUUCUGGUAGAGUAACCCUGGUUGCCAAGUGAAGGCAGAACUGCUGAUGCUUCUGCACAGCACCCUCAGCACCUGCCCCUGGCCAUGGAUUAGAUCCUUUCAGAGUCGUUCUGACACGACCCUGACAAAUCGCCAGCUGCGCUGCUGCAGGUGGUCGAGACACCGCUAACUUUCUCUGCUGGAAGGUGCCAAAGCUUCCCUGCCCUUCCUGGCUCCUUCCUAGCUCAGGCAUCCUGUCUGAUUUUUCUUAACACAUUCGAUAUAAUUUGCAGGAACUUACCAGCCACGUUGGCUCGUGCUGCUGGUCUGUUUGUCCCUGAGCUCCGCGCUGCUGAUGAGCAGUAUCUGAUAUACUUCAAAGGACGUGAAAAAGCAGCUGUGCUUUGCUUGCUCUGUAAGCCUGUGUGAAGUGAGGAAUGGAGAAUCCAAACCAACCCCCUGAGCUGAUCAACUCUACGAAGCUAAGAUCAGAGGAUAUUUAAUUAGGUUCCUAAUUACAGUGCUUAUUAGCAGUCGUAAAAUCACCAGGGUUUGGAUUGCAUAGCAAUGGGAACGGUGGAUCUCAGAGAUAUGCAUCGCAUAGAUAAACAUGAUUAUUCCUCUGGCAUGAUCCCAACUGGAAGAAUAGCAUGCUGCACCAUAAACGGCUGAAGAUUUACCUCUGAUGUGUCAUUUGUUCUUUCCACAAUAAAAG